rnacentral:lncRNA from 1 species
ACUUGAAUUUUUGAAGCUCUGGAAGUUCAAUUGAAAUUGUGUUAAGAGGCGAACUGUGAUAAUCCACUAGAACCUUAAGAGCAUUUGCAACCGCCGUUUCCUUAUUAUGAAAGCAGGCAUGAAUCCUUAGGUAUUCAUGAAGCCAAAUAUCGUCCCAAAACAGAGCACAUAAACCGUUUUGAAUCUUGGACUUUACAAAGGAGCGGAACAAUGAUUUAAC